CUCUACAAAACAAUACUUAAAGAAAAAUUGUGACAUACCUUCAUAUGUUUGUUAUCAUCAAAACCAACUAUAGGAGUGUGGGCAUAUCCCUAACAGCUCAGGCAUGGAGGGGCCUAUUCUUUUUAGACUUAUGUAUUGUCAAGGGAAGGUGGCUGAUUUGGUAAUUGCAAUCGCCCUGCCCGAAGUUCAUAUUUUACAAGUGUAUAUAGCAUUUCUCUCCACCUGGGUAAAAGGAGGUAGAUCCUUUUGCUUACACAUUGUCUCCCCCUCUCCCUAAAUUGAUUUUUUUUAGGAUGGCUAUCUCAGCCUGGGUCUCUCACCCUCAAGUGGUCUCAACUAUCCCAUUUGAUGAAACGAACCUAUCUCAGGUUUAGGGGUAAGCGUUGCUAACAAAUAACUUUUCAUUCAUUGUGUAAAGCCUUUACAAAAGAUCCAUUCCUCUUAUAUAGGCUCUCAAACUGAAUUACAAUUAGAGAACUUCUAAAUUAGGAAACCUCUUGAAAAUUGAAACUAAGACUUAAAACUAAUCUUUUCUAAAACCCAACUACUUGAAAAUCUGGUAAACAUAAAAAUAGAAACUUCUACUAGUCUAAUAUUUCCUAACAAAUAAAACUAACUUGUCAACCAAGACAAAACCAAAAAGGAACAACAAAUAUAUUGGCCAAAUCUACUUAUAUCGAUGGGCUGUAGGAGGUUUCUUCUCGAGCUUUCUUCCUUCCAAUUUGAGGGGACAACCUGCUGGCCUGCUAGAAGGACCAUAUGAGGCACCAACACUAUUCACGUGAACAGUGUUAAUGGUGGUUGUUCACGUGAACAGUAAUUCCUGUUCACUCUCUUCUUCCUCAUGCUUUGACCUAAAUCAGUGUUGUUUGUAAGUAGGAAAAUGGGGGACUUCAGUUGGGUCCCUCCUGAUUGGAUGUGGUGCCGUGGAGCAGUGUUGAAUAUAGGUGAUACAACUCUAUUUUCUGGAUGUUGUCUUGGCUCAGUUAGAUACAAUUACCACUUUCAAUUUUAGUAGUCUAGACAUUUGGUUAGUUGGAAAUGGGUCAGGAUGAGUUGAUCUUGGAGCCAGAAUUUGAUGGCAAAUUUUCAUUUGAAAAUACACAGGUUAUUAUUAGGGCUACUGUUGGGAUUAAUCUUCGUACCACGGAUUUGCUUUUUCUAUGGAGAUUCAUGCGUGUUCAUGCCAAUGGAUUUGGCUAUUGUCAGGCUGAUGGGAUUGAUGCUUUUUGAAAAGUUACUUGUUGCUGCUGCCGCUAGCUUCUAUGGUUUCUCUGUGUGUCUGAUCACAGAACAAGGGAUUGGUGUUUGAUCCAGUCGACACUCUGCGGCGAGAAGUCCGGGUGGAUUACUAUUAUUUCUGGUUUUCUUUAUUGGGUUAUCUUCUCCAGCAGAACAGGUCUGCACCAAGCCCAAAGCAACCCAAUCUGAGCCUAGCUUUGAUUUAUUUUAGGAGGUAUGCUUUUAAUAAUUUUUGCUGAGUUGGCUUCAAAUGAGCUUACCUUCCUAGACCUUGGGUUGGUUUGGGUCAUCCCUCCAGCCUGACCAACUCACAUGCCCAAUUCUCGAUAGAAUCUAUGAUCAAUUUCCAGUUAACGGUUUUACCGGAAAUAAGUUUGACAUAGGAAGUGUAAAUUUGUUCUUAACUUCAAACAACAACAAAAACAACAACAACAACAACAACAAAGCUUUGCAUUAUCCCGACUAAAUGGGAACGGCUACAUGGAUCUGCAAGUAUUUGAAAAAAAAAAAAACUUUGGGACAUCCCACUCACGAACAAUCGGCAACUCGGAUCCUAGCCCUCCAGGCAGCUCUGUUAGAUGCCAUUUCCUGUUAACCUGAUAGAGGCUUAUCUAGUGUAAACACUUGACUUCAAAGUGUAGAUUUAUUUGAUGCUUACAGAAGUCCAAUUGAUACCUGUGAAUCAGAAAUCCAGCUUCUAAGGGGAGGAGUCCGUGUAAAACUGGUUCUUAGAGGUCAUGGAAUAUGGGAAGUUAACACAUCCAAUGCAUUUGUGCAGGUUGAAGGCAUAAAUAGAUGUGGAUUUUGAUUCAAAGACUUAUGCUUUAACAUGGGCCUGUAUAUGAUCUUGAUGAUAAUGAACCAGAUGGUCCUCCUCUGAUUAUGAUCUGCGCUAAUAAUGAAAUAUACAUUGCUGUUCAAACUACUCGAUUGAGAUCCCAAUGUGCUUGGCGUUGUGCUUGUCCACUUCUUUGUUGAAGCUCUGAUGCAAGCUCCAGUUCGCCAAUUUGCUCUCUACCCUAUGAGGAAAUCGCUGGCCAUACAGUUUGUUAAUUUAUUGAAGGGCCUUUUCUACAUCUGGAACAAGUGUUUUCCUGAGGACCUUACUGUAAUUUCAAACUUUUUCUGGUUCAUGUAAAAUUGCAAUAUUAUCACUUAAAUGUGCAAUAUUGACCAUUUUAUGUC